GCGCUUGUAGCUCAGGGGAUAGAGCAACGGAUUCCUAAUCCGUGUGCCGCAGGUUCGAUUCCUGCCAGGCGCACCA
rnacentral:tRNA from 1 species